GUGAGGAUCAACCAGCCUGACUUUUAUCUCAUGCAAAGGAUCAAACUAUGUGGGACCUGAAAGGACAGGAGCCCAUGGGCACCCUUAAGAGAGAAGGGAGAUGGAGAACACAGUAGGCCAGGGAAGCCCAGAACGAGAACUCGUAGCUUUACUGUUGCCUUCUUCAGAACUACAGGCCAUGCUCUCAGCCUGCCACACUUUACCUGGAUGGUACCCUGACAAAAAUAUAACACUGAGACACUUGGCUCCAUUUAAGAGCAGUUGUUCAACAUCAGGGAAAGGGAGACAUGCUCCAGCUAUCUUUGGGCUAGUUAAGAAAUAUGAUAAUAAAACAAAAUUAGUGCAACUUACCUUUAGCCAGAACUUUAGGAGGUGGCAGCUCUGACUUUGGUGAGGAUGACUUGUUGAGUGAAGUGGGAACUUACUACAGGGUCACUAAGACAGUCACACCAGUUAGAGAAGUUGGUGGUGCCCAGUGAACUCUGGUUCCCACCAUAAAUAAGUCACUGCCGUGGAUCUUCUGGUUAUGGUUCCCUCACUACUAAUCACAGAUGGAAAAUGGACUCUACAAUUAAGCUGUUAAACCACUCUGCUUUUGUUUGGAACUAUGUUGUGUCCUUGGGACAGUUUCAGCUUCAAGUAAGGGAGACAUGAGUUCGAUUGCUGGGUCGGAAAGAGCCCCUGGAGAAGGAAACGGCAACACACUCUAGUAUUCUUGCCUGGGAAAUCCCAUGGACAAGGAACGUGGCUGGCUACAAUUUAUGGAAUCUCAAAACAGUCAGACACAGAUGAGCGAUUAAACAACUCUUAUUUAAGUACUUCUGUCACCUGGAGAUGCUGCUUCCCCUUAGCCUCUGAGUCUUUUAAUAUGUUAUUCCCUCUGCCUGGAACACAGUUUUUGACGGCCAACGAAAUGCCAACAGUUGGCAUUUGAAUCAUUGUGGUGAUUAAUUUUAUGUGUCAUCUUGAUUGGGCUAAGGGGUGCCCAGAUAACCUGUGAAACAUUUCUGGAUAUGUCUGCAAGGAUGUUUCUGAAAGAGAUAAGCACUGAAUUUGUAGACUGAGUAAAGAAAAACACAUUCCCCAGUGUGGGAGGACAUCAGCCAGUUGGUUGAAGACAUGAAUAGAAAAAAAGACUGAGGAAGGGUGAAGUUGCUGUAUGCUUGGACAGCCAUCUUCUUCUUUCUUCAGACAUAGGUAUUCCUGGUUCUCAGACUUUUAGAUUUGGACUGCCUUAUCCUUUCUUCCCCUAGCUUCCCUUGUUCUCUAGCUUGCAGAUGGCAGGCCAUGGAGCUUUUCAGUCUCCAUAAUUGUAUGACCAUUACUUACAAUAAAUCUCCUCAUACAUAAUUUAUUAGUUCUGUUUCUCUAGAGAACCCUGACUAAUACAGAUGUCAAUACAGAUAUGUCUUAGGUUCCUUUACUUGUAUAUAAUACCAAAAAAAACCAACCCUCAUAUACACACAUCCAGAUCCAACUCAUAAGCUUCUUUUAUUGCCAGCUCCCUCACCCAGAAAGAUUAAAAUUCCCUGGUGCCCGCAGGCUUGGCCUAAAGAAGAGACACCAGGCUUCCUUUUCGUGCAGCCCUUUGGGUGUAGCUGCUGUUCCCGUUGAUCCCUGCUCUAUGUGUGCCCAACUGGUUUACCUCUUUGAUUCAACCUCAUCUGUUAUUUACACACAUUCAAACGAGCACUUAACAAUAGUGGUCAUAGCAGUCCCUUAGGUUUUUCAGUCCUAGAAAUUUCUACUUAUUUAGCCAAUGUCUUCUAAUCAUCUAAAAGGAGACUCAGCUCAUAAUUAAUAAAAAUUGAAAAAGCCAGGUCCUAAAGGAAUUUCUCAAGAUUUCUACUGAUUCAGCAUUCUUCACUCGCCCACUGCAGACCAGUCACAUUUCACUUAUCCCAGGGCCCUUAAUUUUGAUGUUUCUUCUUCCUGGAAGAUUUCCCUGUGUCCCUCACCCUUGGUCUUGCUGGGUUCCCCCACCAAGGAUUCCUAAAUACCUUUUACUUCCCUGUGACCUUCUCUGUGCUAGACUAUCUCUUGUCUGUGCUCUGAGCUUCCUCAAGGCAGAGUGUGUAUUUGUCAAGGCUCUCGCUAUAUCCAUAGGACCUGGCAUAUGGUAGCUGCAUGAUAAAUAGAGCUGAACAAAUAAAUAAAACAAACUGUGGCGAGAAUAGAGCUUGCAUUAAAAGUUUAUCUCCACUUUCCCCCUUUAUCCCCAGGAGACCCCAUCCUCCAGAAUUUAAAGAAGAAAGUUGAACCCUUCUCACUUUAAGCCUAUCUUAAAAGCUGCUUUUAGAAACUCCAGUGCACACUCACACACCAUUAUAUGUUAUUUUAGGCUGGUGUAAUAAUAAAACUGUCAAUCCUAUGAAUAAGAACUGUUUCUUUACUUGGAUUCUUGCUCAUGUUCGUGUAUAUUUAUGUAUUACUAGAAAAGCAGCAUUCUUAAGAUUUCUUAGAUUGUUUUGAUAAGAUGUGACUCUACUUUUCCCAGCCUUUCUUAUUAUAAGAAUCUUUAACAAGCGCUUUAAACAGUUUUGCACAUGCUACCUUACAUUUUCAUGUGAUGUAAAGUGUAGCAAAAUCCUUUUUUUUCUCCAAAGAAUUUUUCUUAAUAAUAUUUAAAUAAUGUAAGUGUUUCUGCUUUUGUAAUGCUCUCUGUGCAAAUAGAAUAGUUGCCAAUGUUUAUCAUGGGAAGCACACCAAUUCUUUGGUUUCUGGUGAGGGAUAAUUACAAUGAUUAUUAUUUAUAGGGCAAAAAAUUUAUACUAUAUAUCUUUAAUUUAAAAUGCUUCUUUAUUUAGGGGUGUUAGCU
ensembl:lncRNA